rnacentral:sRNA from 1 species
GUCACAGCAUUAGCAGCCAGAGGCAACCUAAUUUUGUUAAGCCAGUCCUAGAGCUUACACACCCUUUUCUGUUGGUGCCUCUCGGGUUGCCUGGGAGCUCAGGCCCAUCUGUCCUUACUAUUUUUGAGUCUCUGUUGUCUCAUUGGCGGCUUUCUGAACAGCUGCAAAACAUACUUUUAACUCUAAGUGGAAGUUUGGGUCACUGGCUACCCGCGUGGAACAGUCACUCUCAUCAAGGGUUCUUUCAGCGGAGAGUUCUCUAGUUUUACGGAUUCUCGCACCACAGCGGACAGCUGGCUCAUCCUUUCCGCGGCUCCUCAACCUCGGGUCACUAGGCUCCGGUGACACCGCAAGCGGGACCGAGAGGCGGACGGCAGGCACAGGGCCCGGAAGGACAAUGCUGCGCGGAAAGUCCCGGCUCAAUGUGGAGUGGCUAGGCUACUCGCCCGGCCUGCUCCUGGAGAACGAUCCACUCGCCGCGGGACGGACACCACGAACCCCCCGUGGGUAAGUCACGUGAGUGUUUGCAGCACACCCGCGCCUGCGCGCGCUACCGUCGCGUCACUACGUCGCGCCACCGGGAGCGUGUUUCAGCCGGGGCACUUCCGGCGCGACCGGCCUAGUACUGCACCCUCCUAGCGGCCGCUGCGCCCCGCUAAUUACCUAGCACCUGCUGUUGCCCUCCCGGCCACGCCAUGGAGCGUCUUGAUAAAGCGGCACUGAACGCGCUGCAGCCUCCAGAGUUCAG